rnacentral:piRNA from 1 species
UAGUAUCUUGUUGUGCCAAGCUGGUGG